AAUUUGCAUCUAUUGUCUGACCACCGAAUUAGUUAUCUUCUUUGACAACCCUCUUCUUAAACUAAUCGAUCUCCACUGAAAGACAGACAGACAGACAGAUCUCUUCUUAAUGGCGUAAUCGGACUUGAAACAAAUUGGAGCUGUUUCAAUGGCGAUACGACUGAAGAACGGUUUAUGGGUAGCCAAGAGGAUAUGCUUAGCUCUCACCGCUUGGCUUUCAAUCUGCUUUCUUCUCGCCGAUGACAUCGCUCAUUCCAUCGAUUCCGAAGAUGAUUAUCUUCAUCCCCCCCGAUGAAGAAUCAUCAUCCCAGGCACAAAUGAGAUAGCAGUGAACUGUUAAGGAUCGACACAAACCCCGCAAGAAUACUUCAGUAUAGCGACGAACCAACCGCUUGAUUCCGAGUUUUACAGAUUAUAGAAAGAAGCUUGAUUUUGGUGUUUCGAUUGUGGUUUUAGUUCAAGUAAAUUUGAUUCAUUGUUGUUUUGAUAAAUAGUGUGUAAGGCUGUGGUUUUAGAGAAGAUGGUGAUUUCUGAUUAGUGCCUCAAAAGAUUCAUUUUAUACUGUUAU